rnacentral:rRNA from 1 species
UACGUAGGGUGCGAGCGUUAAUCGGAAUUACUGGGCGUAAAGCGUACGCAGGCGGCCAUGUAAGACAGGUGUGAAAUCCCCGGGCUUAACCUGGGAACUGCAUUUGUGACUGCAUGGCUAGAGUUUGUCAGAGGGGGGUGGAAUUCCACGUGUAGCAGUGAAAUGCGUAGAGAUGUGGAGGAACACCGAUGGCGAAGGCAGCCCCCUGGGACAUGACAGACGCUCAUGUACGAAAGCGUGGGGAGCAAACAGG